CAGCAGCCACGGGAAUACAGAGGGUGCGAGCGUUAAUCGGAUUUACUGGGCGUAAAGCGUGCGUAGGCGGCUUUUUAAGUCGGAUGUGAAAUCCCUGAGCUUAACUUAGGAAUUGCAUUCGAUACUGGGAAGCUAGAGUAUGGGAGAGGAUGGUAGAAUUCCAGGUGUAGCGGUGAAAUGCGUAGAGAUCUGGAGGAAUACCGAUGGCGAAGGCAGCCAUCUGGCCUAAUACUGACGCUGAGGUACGAAAGCAUGGGGAGCAAACAGGAUUAGAUACCCGCGUAGUCCCUGUCUCUUAUAA
rnacentral:rRNA from 1 species